rnacentral:lncRNA from 1 species
GAAUUGCUGAGAUCAGUAGUGAGCAGGGCAGUAGCCCUCUGAGCAGCAGAAAGAGGAAUGUGGAUGGAGAUGUAGUGGUGGGAUGACAGCCUGGAUUGUGGUGGCGACAAUGAGUUGAAAACACCAGGUGUCACAGAGGUGAAAUCAGGAGGGUUUGCUAGGAAGUUGGAUAUGGGUGAUGAAGAAGGAAGGCUGAAGAUGACUCCAAGUUUUCCAGGGCCUCACCAAAUCCAAGAAAAAUCUCAUGAAUCUGGAAAUCUAGAGAGUUGGAUUCUAGCUGCUGUUCUGCCACAAACCACCCAGAUGACCUUGGGGAAGACAUCUUGCUUCGGGGGCCAGGGAUUUUUCAUGUGUAAAAAGAGUCAGUGGGCUCGAUGAUUCAUAAAGACUUAAUAUGCAUGUCUACAUUAUAGGAGUGUGAACCAGGUGGUCAUUCAAGACCUAGUACACUUGGAAAAGAAGUGUCCUCGCCUAUGGAGCAUGAGUUGGCAGCAAUGGAAUCCACAAGGUACUGCUGGCUCCAGCCCAUCAGCACUUCCCAGCUCCAUCUGCACAUCCUGUUUCCA